rnacentral:rRNA from 1 species
UACGUAGGGGGCAAGCGUUGUCCGGAUUUAUUGGGCGUAAAGAGCGUGUAGGCGGCCAGGUAGGUCAGCUGUGAAAACUCGAGGCUCAACCUCGAGACGCCGGUUGAAACCAUCUGGCUAGAGUCCGGAAGAGGAGAGUGGAAUUCCUGGUGUAGCGGUGAAAUGCGCAGAUAUCAGGAGGAACACCCAUGGCGAAGGCAGCUUCCUGGGUCCAAUCUGACGCUGAGGCGCGAAAGCGUGGGGAGCGAACGGG